rnacentral:rRNA from 1 species
GAUUAAGUUAUUAAGGGCGCAUGGUGGAUGCAUUGGCACUAGAAGCCGAUGAAGGACGUUACUAACGACGAUAUGAUUUGGGGAGCUGUAAGUAAG